UACGUAGGGGGCAAGCGUUGUCCGGAAUUAUUGGGCGUAAAGAGGGUGUAGGCGGUCCGGUAAGUCAGCUGUGAAAGUCAAGGGCUCAACCCUUGAAUGCCGGUUGAUACUGUCGGGCUAGAGUCCGGAAGAGGCGAGUGGAAUUCCCGGUGUAGCGGUGAAAUGCGCAGAUAUCGGGAGGAACACCAAUGGCGAAGGCAGCUCGCUGGGACGGUACUGACGCUGAGACGCGAAAGCGUGGGGAGCAAACAGG
rnacentral:rRNA from 1 species